CUCGCCUACGGGAGGCAGCAGUGAGGGAUAUUGGUCAAUGGGGGAAACCCUGAACCAGCAACGCCGCGUGAGGGAAGACGGUUUUCGGAUUGUAAACCUCUGUCCUCUGUGAAGAUAAUGACGGUAGCAGAGGAGGAAGCUCCGGCUAACUACGUGCCAGCAGCCGCGGUAAUGCGGAGGAUGCGAGCGUUAUCCGGAUUUAUUGGGUUUAAAGGGUGCGUAGGCGGGCUGUUAAGUCAGCGGUCAGAUGUCGGGGCUCAACCCCGGCCUGCCGUUGAAACUGGCGGCCUCGAGUGGGCGAGAAG
rnacentral:rRNA from 1 species